UGGACUGGUAGGUUGUGAGAGGGUGUAUCACAGUAUGAAAAAGAUUGGAGUGAGAGCGACCAGUAUGUAUUUUGUGUGCAUGAGAUAAAGCAGUUGGAAUAUGAGAGAUCAGAGUGUGUUUGUGUAUCUGUGUGAGACACUGGAGCAUUUGAGUAACUGAGGCCUCUUUGAAAGAUACCAUUGAAUGUGUAUGUAUGAGAGACCAUCAUGUUUAUAUUGUAAUGAAUGCGGGAAAGCCUUCAGCCAAACUUCCAAUCUUACUCAACAUCAAAGAAUUCAUACUGGAGAGAAACCCUAUAAAUGUACUGAAUGUGGAAAGGCUUUUAGUGAUAGCUCAUCCUGUGCUCAGCAUCAAAGACUCCACACUGGCCAAAGGCCCUAUCAGUGUUUUGAAUGUGGGAAGGCAUUCAGAAGAAAGUUAUCCUUAAUUUGUCAUCAAAGUCGUCAUACUGGAGAAGAACCUUAAGAAUGUAGUGCAUGUGGCCAAGCCUUUAGUUAUCAUCAAUCCCCUACUGUUAAUCAGAGAUGUCCCACUGGAU
rnacentral:sRNA from 1 species